AGUAGGUUUGAGGUGGAGCUCAGGGUAGUCCCGGGUAGUCCAUAUGCUUCCCUUGAGAAAUAGAGGUUUGCUGGUGGUAUUGCGGUGUUAGACCAUUCACAUCCAGCCUUUGGAUGGCAGAGGAGCUGCAUGGCAGUGCUAAACUGAUGCCCAAACGGGGAGUCAGAGAGUAGCGCAGGAGUCAGGGAAAACAAGACAGCAAUCUACAUUCUCACACUCUUCCUUGCUUCUUCUAUUCCUUUCCCACCACCUUCUCUUACAAAAGGAAUUUCUUUAAAAGAUCUCUUACAAGGAAACUUUACUUUACGUAAAACAGCUAUCGGCAAUUCUAUGCCCGUCGGGGCUGAGGGGGUCUGGGGAGCUCCAAGCGGACUGCGCUUCUAGUUUAUCCCUUGAGGAAGCUCCUAAGGUAGAUCCAUGGACACUUCAGGGUUCCUUCAGAAUUCACUUGAAAACACUCUUAAUCUCACUCUUCUUUUACAGAUGAAGAAAUUGAGACCCAGAGAGGUGAAGUGACUUGCCUAAGGCUGGCUAGAGACAUAACUGGAUGAUCACUCUGCUCUACUGGGUCUCAGGCCACUGAGAUUUUCCAAACUGCGUUCAUUAGAACACCAGUGUCCAAAGCGAGGUCAAUAGGUGUUCUGGGGGACAAAAGGGAACCCCAGGAGUUCCAAGGAUGUACUCCAGGGACCACCAAGUGGGAGAGUUCUGGGCCCCCAUAUCUGUGUCUGCCCCUCUAUUCUUCAUCAUCUCCAACUCUCAGCUGUAAACUGAGCAGCUCACUUUUAUCUAUUUUAUCUAUUGGAAUUUUACAUACAAUUUUAUUUGAAGAAAGUCAUGGUGCUUAAAAACAGAUGUGAAUAUUGUUGGUUGAGAGAAUGAUGCCCAAGCAAGGCCAAUUACAGCAUGAAUACUGCACAUAUCGCACUUAUAAUUGUAUUUUGAGAGAGUUAUAUAUGGCUGCAAUAAACAACCACAUGCAGGAAAUAUGAUUAGAAUGGUUCUAAAAGGCCCUGAUUCCUACUAGCCUGUUAUUAAUGAAGGAAAUUUCUCCAUUAUAGACCUAUUUAUCUGGGCUGACGCAUUUUAAUCAGUAUACAGGAAUGUUAUCAUAGCUAUGGUUGUGUUUGCCCUUUGUGCCUCUUGACUGACCUCCUUGUGGUAACAAAACCCCUAUUUCCAGUGGGGAGCCCAUUCCCAGUGCUUUAGGGUGGGUAUAGGACCCAAGGCUGACUAAUGAGUAUGUGUAAUUCACCUGGCCGUAGUAAAGGAUUCAGGGAUGAUAUAUGAUUCAGCUGG
rnacentral:lncRNA from 1 species